CUAGUCCUACGGGGGGCAGCAGUGGGGAAUAUUGCACAAUGGGGGAAACCCUGAUGCAGCGACGCCGCGUGAGUGAAGGAGCGUUUCGGCGCGUAAAGCUCUGUCAGCGGGGAAGAAACACGGUUCGCGAGAGCCGCGGACGGUACCCGACCAAGAAGCCCCGGCUAACUACGUGCCAGCAGCCGCGGUAAUACGUAGGGGGCAAGCGUUAUCCGGAUUUACUGGGUGUAAAGGGAGCGUAGACGGCAUGGCAAGUCUGAAGUGAAAGCCCGGGGCUCAACCGCGGGACUGCUCUGGAAACUGUU
rnacentral:rRNA from 1 species